rnacentral:rRNA from 1 species
GACGAACGCUGGCGGCGUGCUUAACACAUGCAAGUCGAGCGGGGAUUGAGGAAGUGCUUGCACAGAUUCAAUUCUAGCGGCGGACGGGUGAGUAACGCGUGAACAAUCUGUCCCAGACAGGGGGAUAACACUUGGAAACAGGUGCUAAUACCGCAUAAGACCACGGGAGGACAUCCUUCUGGGGUAAAAGAUUUAUCGGUUUGGGGUGAGUUCGCGUCCGAUUAGCUAGUUGGUGAGGUAACGGCCCACCAAGGCGACGAUCGGUAGCCGACCUGAGAGGGUGAUCGGCCACAUUGGAACUGAGACACGGUCCAA